CCCAUUUCUUUUGCAAAAACUUUGAUUGCAUCUCCUCGUGAAAGCAUCCCUUCGUCUCCCUCGCGAGAUGCGUCUCAGGCGGCUUGGCCCAUAUUGCCAUAGCCCAUAGCUGCCUCCCGACGGCGGCGGGGCGCUUCGGCCUAGGCAAAAAAGACGUCCACGUUCGCGGCGCCGACGGUCCGCCGCCGUGGCCGCGAGCCGAAACCGCGCGGAGGCUAGUCAGGAGCUUCUCCCUGUCCUCUCCGAUCUCCUCAGACGAGGGCCGCCUGGAAGCGGCGAGGGAGAUGGCGUCACGCCGUCACCAUCGCAGUUGACAGGCACACUGCCGAGCGUUUGCCGCAGCCGUGCCCGGCCGCCUUCCGCGACGAUGGGCUCCAAGGGCAGAGGCGGGGGCCACUGUGGCUCGGUCCAUGGUGGUGGCCGCGGACGCUGUCUCAACGAGAUGCACACACGUCCCGGACGUGGUUAAGAGGAGACGAAGUGUAGGUUUAUAGGUUUCGUUCGGCGAUGGAAUUGAACACCUUCAGAGCCAUCGUCGCUGCUCCUGAUCUUUUCCGCGGCGAUCCUGAUCUUUUCCGCGGCUCUUUCCCGGGCGAGAGUUCCACGGCCCGGUAGGUCGGGAACUAUUCCUCGGGCUCGCUCGCUCCCUCGCUCCGGUAACCUGAAGCAACGUUGCCGCGUCCCUCCGUCGACCGCGAUCGAUCCCGUCGUCUCCCUCCAAUUCCGGCGACCAGAAGCAACGCCGCCUCCUCUCUCCGUCGACCGCAGGCGACACCGCCGCCUCCCUCCGGCGACGCGACCCCGCCGCCAACCUCCGGCGGACGCGAGCCGCCUCCCUCCGGGGACCAGGGGCACGCCCCCUCCCCCGUGCCCUGCCCCACCUCGAGGUUCCUCUUCCCUCUGACGUAGCAGGUUCUGGAGAGCUCCUAGUUUCCUACUCACCUUGUUGCUGAAACUUGGCUGCAAGCAUUGGGAGCCACGGAUUAGGAGAUUAUUUUGUCUUUGGAUGGAAGUGGUUGGUUAAGUUGUCUUUGCCGAAAUAUUGCAAGAUCACGCUUAUUUUAUUGUACAAGAACUGAUCAUCAUGUUUGUAAUCAUUUUACUCCUAGGGAUGGUGGAACCACAUAUUCUCUAUGUUUGUCCUUUUCAAGUUUCUUCCUUUUCUAUGAAUAUUCCUGAUUUGGCAGGCAUUAUUUGUAAUCUCGUUGACAUUUUUUAAUUAAUUUUAUGGUAUUCUUUGCAGUAUUUUAUUAA